rnacentral:lncRNA from 1 species
ACCGAGGGGAGGUUCCUGGUGGCCGGCGGGACGGGCCACUGUCCACAGGCCAUGCCAGGCCUGGGGCAGCGAGGUCACAGCCUCCUGGGUCAGAUGCUGUGCCCUGGCCAGUCGGCAGGAGUGGCCUCGGCAGGCUCCGCAGCAGUUUCUGCCCCAGAGACCAUGCGUGGGACAGUUCCAUCUCAUCUGUGAGUCCCGGAGAUGUGUGGACCCAGAUGCCAAGAACCUGGACACCUUCAACCGGUAACAUUCUCAUCAGAGGGACAUCAGAGCACAUUCUCUCUCUCUCUCCCUCCCUCCCUCUAUGCCACGUAAGGACCUAGGAAAAGGUGGCCAACUACAAGGCAGAAGAAAGCUUCAUCAGAACCUGACCCUGUUGGCUCCCUGAUCUUGGACUUCCGUCUCUGGAACUGUGAAGUCUAAACCACUCAGUCUAU